GCUGGGUAUGGUGGUGCAUGCCUGUAAUCCCAGGUACUCAGGAGGCUGAGGCAGGAGAAUUGCUUGAACCUGGGAGGUGGAGUUUGCAGUGAGCCGAGAUCGUGCCACUGCACUCCAGCCUGGGCAACAGAGUGAGACUCUGUCUCUA
rfam:Homo sapiens chromosome 7, GRCh38 reference primary assembly.